GGGGAGGGGUGGGGAUUUUGUGAAGUGUCUUCGCUUUAUUUUCUUCCGAGUCAUGCAGUUUGAUUUUAAACAGAACAACAUUUCUUUUUAGCUUCACAAACACUAAAACUUCCUCCUCUGACCAACAUCUGACAGAUUGCAGACAGAAAUCUCAAAUGAAAGGUCACGUCAACAUCUGACAGAAUCACUUGAUUCAUCAGGACCUGAAUAUCAUUGGCCUAUGAAUUUCAUCAGUUUUGAAUCUAGGAGGAAAACUGUUUUCUGGUCUGUCUGCUUCAGAAGGUUUUAAAUAUGUGUGACUACACACCCGAGUGAGAGUGUUUCCAUGCACUGACUGUGGAAAGACCUUUAACCAGUUACACAGCCUGAAAACACAUCACACCAUUCACAGCAAGGAGAAACUGUACAUGUGUUCUGUAUGUGGUUGAGGCUUCAACCAGUCAUCAAACCUCGAGAGACACAAGGACAACCACAUCAUGGAAAAGACUGUUGGAAGGGAUUGCCUUCCCUGCCUGCACUGGAAUCACAUUGACACUGGGGAGAGGCCAUUCACCUGCUCUGUGUGUGGGAAAGGGUUCAGUAAUUCGUCCCAACUGCUGAUACGCCAGUGAGUUCACACAGGAGGGAGACCGUUCACCUGCCCUGAAUGUGGGAACGGUUUCAGUAAUUCAUCCACCCUGCUGACACACCAGCGAGUUCACACUGGGGUGAGGCUGUUCACCUGCUCCCUGUGUAGGAAGGGAUUCAUUCAGGCAUUCCAUCUGCUGACACACCAGCAGGUUCACACUGGGGAGAUGUUGUUCACCUGUGUGUGGGAUGGGCUUCACUCAGUCCUCUCACCUGCUGAGACACCAGCAAAUUCACACCGGGGAAAGGCCAUUCACCUGCCUUGCGUGUGGGAAGAGAUUUGGUGUUUCAUCCUCUGUACUGGCAUACCACCGGGUUCACAAUGGGGAGAGACUGUUCACCUGCUCCAAGUGUGGAAAGGUAUUCACUCAGUCAUCCAACCUGCUGAGACACCAGCGAGUUCACAAGUGAUGACAGGGGUUGGAUUCUGCUGUUAUUGCUGCUAUUAAUCACACCCAGGACUGAACCAUGUUCAUUCUGACCGUCGGUGAAGUGGGAGGGUCAGAGGGUUUCUUUCUACUGGACUAGCCGGUCUCACGACUUUGCUUCCAGUGGGCAGAUGCUCUUUGAGCCUGAGAGGGCACAUUUCCACUGAAGUAAUCCACAAAAGCUGAUGAAGGACAUUUAUUUUAUCCUGGAUAGUAAUUAGUGUUCUGCCCACCACUACAGGAAGAUCUAAAAUAAAUACAUUUGUUUCUGUUCCA